rnacentral:lncRNA from 1 species
GUUUCUCACUAGAGAUCUUAAGAUGGAAUAGUUGAAGUUGAAAGAAAGAGGAACACUCAACCCGGAAUGAGUCCCAAGACGAGCUUUCAAUGAUGAUGUAAUGUAACCCUAUCACAUUUUUGAGCCCCAAUGUUUUCAAGAAUCUGCAGCAAGAACAAACCCAUUUGCAAAACCCCUUCCCACCAUCCCCGAUAACAUAACUCAUGUCUCAAGGUCAAGAACCAAUAAAAAAGAGGUGUGAUAUUCACAUACCAUAUUUUACUUCUUACAUGUCUUUUUAAUUUUCAGUCGUCGGAUCAGUUGAAUUGAAGAUGAUCAAUGAACAAAAAUUAUCAAAAGUGUGUGAGAAAUAAAAUAGGAUGUGUGGAUAACACAUAUCAUAAAAAAAUAUCAAAGCCUUUUAGUAGCGUUUAAAACCUGUUUUUGUAACUGUGUUUUGAGUCAAAAUUUUCAGUCAUUGUGGGGUGUUUCCUUUUUCUCGCGAAAAGGGUAGUUACCCAAAAGAACAGCGUCAGAUCACGGUCUUCGAAGUGAUAAUUUUAUCUUUAAAGUGGUAUAAAUUACACUUUACCACCUUAAAUUUGAAGUCGAUUUCAAUUCCUUACAACAUCUUUAAAACAUUUAAUUAUCAUACCUUAAAUACUAUUUUAUUUCAAUAUAAUACAUCCGUAACAUUUUCAAUUCAUUGAUCCAUUAAUAGAUGACGUGGAUGCCACAUUUAUGCCAAAUAGCUGCUAAA